rnacentral:lncRNA from 1 species
ACACUCAAAAGUCUGGGACAGUGAAGAAAUCUGAGUUUAUGUUGUAUUGGAACUUAUGUCUCAGCUCAGAUCGAGACACACUGAGCAUUCCUGGGUGUCCCAGGAGUUUGCCAAUCCCAGACACGAGGAUGAAUGACGGGAGGUGGUCUGAAUACGUCUCCUAGUGGUUAAAAGCAGCCAUGACAAGUUUUGCACGUGCUUUGCUAGAGUUUUGAAGCUCACGGCAAACUGGGGUCCACUUCACUCUUUUGUGGGUUCCUCUCCAUGGGCUCACCUUUAUCCUGCAGCAGGUGUAUUUCAGAGAUCACUGGCUCUGUUGGAGAUGGAGGUCUCUUCUCACGAAGGCCAACCCCUGAAGCUGUUCUGCUACCAAAGCUUGCACAUGGGCACUCAUUCCAUCUGCUUUUAUAAAAAGAAGAAAUCAGAGAAAAAAUCAGAUUCCCUGAAGAUCUCUCGUGAAAUCCGCUGCUCAAAGCAGGGCUAGCAUGGUUGCCCAGGAAUGAAAAUUUCAUAACCUCUCCUUUUCAAUUAAAAGGAAGAAAAACUGGAUAGAUAGACGAUUGCAUGAGUGGAAACUAGAGCAUGGUUUGCAAUUCAGACUUCGUUACUACUGAGAGUGGAUGAAUGACAUGAAAUUAGAACUGUGUUUGAAGAGAAUUGGCAUCCACACAGUUUGCGGUGGAAAACGUUCACAUUAACAGCAGUCAUCCUUACAGUUAUCCUUAAUUGCAUCCAGUCUGCCUUGGGGUGGAAUGGGCAAUAAGGGUGUGGAAAGGUGCAGAGCAAAUGUUCCCUAAGGCAAAGACUGUUUAGCAGUCUGGACUCAGAUGGCUUUAGGUACUAAUGGAGCACAAGUACCAACGACUUCUAAAGUGACCAUUUUGAGCUCCCUUGUAAAAGGUAAAGGUCACAUGUUAUACAGAGUAAAUGAGGUGUAGCUGAAAAAACAGUGACCUUAGUCUCCUUCCUGGCCUGUAUCUUUUUUUAAAACCAUGCAUGCCUCCCUGCUACAAAUCAGAAAAUGUCUCAUGACAAAAGGGAAAAAUAAUUUAUUGGCUUUUGAGUGGUGCCUUAGGGUGCAAACAAUAU